rnacentral:rRNA from 1 species
GACGAACGCUGGCGGCGUGCCUAAUACAUGCAAGUCGAACGAGUGGCGGACGGGUGAGUAACACGUGGGAACCUACCCAUCAGAGGGGGAUACCUACUGGAAACGGUGGCUAAUACCGCAUACUAUCGGAUGAACCCAUUUGGGAUUAGCUAGUAGGUUGGGUAAAGGCUCACCUAGGCGACGAUCUCUAGCUGGUCUGAGAGGAUGAGCAGCGACACUGGGACUUAGACACGGCCCAGACUCCUACGGGAGGCAGCAGUGGGGAAUAUUGCACAAUGGGCGCAAGCCUGAUGCAGCCAUGCCGCGUGUAUUAAGAAGGCCGUAGGGUUGUAAAGUACUUUCAGCGGGGAGGCGUUACCCGCAGAAGAAGCACCGGCUAACUCCGUGCCAGCAGCCGCGGUAAUAC